rnacentral:lncRNA from 1 species
GGAGCUGCUCUUGCUCUGGCGGCGGCGGAGGAGGAUUAGGAUGCAGAUGAGCAGCUCCGGCGGGCCGUUUCGUCGUCUCCACAGAAGGCAUGACUGAUGGGUAUUUGAAAAGAUGCUCUGUUUCCGGAAGUGAAUAGGGAGGAGAGUUGUUGUGUGGGAAAUGGGAAUUGGUGGGGAAGGGAGAAAGUUGAAGGGGGCUUAUAUGGAGGAAAAAAGAGAAGAGCGAGAUUUU